AUUGAACGCUGGCGGCAUGCCUUACACAUGCAAGUCGAACAGCAGCAUGGAGAGCUUGCUCUCUGAUGGCGAGUGGCGAACGGGUGAGUAAUGCACCGGAACGUACCGUGUAAUGGGGGAUAACGUAGCGAAAGUUACGCUAAUACCGCAUACGACCUGAGGGUGAAAGCAGGGGAUCGCAAGACCUUGCGUUAUACGAGCGGCCGAUGUCAGAUUAGCUAGUUGGUGAGGUAAAGGCUCACCAAGGCGACGAUCUGUAGCGGGUCUGAGAGGAUGAUCCGCCACACUGGGACUGAGACACGGCCCAGACUCCUACGGGAGGCAGCAGUGGGGAAUUUUGGACAAUGGGGGCAACCCUGAUCCAGCCAUGCCGCGUGAGUGAAGAAGGCCUUCGGGUUGUAAAGCUCUUUCGGCCGGGAAGAAAUCGCACAGGCUAAUACUCUGUGUGGAUGACGGUACCGGCAUAAGAAGCACCGGCUAACUACGUGCCAGCCGCCGCGGUAA
rnacentral:rRNA from 1 species